rnacentral:rRNA from 1 species
CUACGGGUUGCUCCAGUGGGGAAUAUUGCACAAUGGGCGCAAGCCUGAUGCAGCCAUGCCGCGUGUAUGAAGAAGGCCUUCGGGUUGUAAAGUACUUUCAGCGGGGAGGAAGGGAGUAAAGUUAAUACCUUUGCUCAUUGACGUUACCCGCAGAAGAAGCACCGGCUAACUCCGUGCCAGCAGCCGCGGUAAUACGGAGGGUGCAAGCGUUAAUCGGAAUUACUGGGCGUAAAGCGCACGCAGGCGGUUUGUUAAGUCAGAUGUGAAAUCCCCGGGCUCAACCUGGGAACUGCAUCUGAUACUGGCAAGCUUGAGUCUCGUAGAGGGGGGUAGAAUUCCAGGUGUAGCGGUGAAAUGCGUAGAGAUCUGGAGGAAUACCGGUGGCGAAGGCGGCCCCCUGGACGAAGACUGACGCUCAGGUGCGAAAGCGUGGGGAGCAAACAGGAUUAGAUACCCGGGUAGUC